rnacentral:rRNA from 1 species
UACGUAGGUGGCGAGCGUUGUCCGGAUUUACUGGGCGUAAAGGGCGCGCAGGCGGUUUGUUAAGUGCAGAGUGAAAGCUCCCGGCUCAACUGGGAGAGGUCUUUGCAUACUGGCAAACUCGAGGGAGGCAGAGGAAAGUGGAAUUCCCGGUGUAGUGGUGAUAUGCGUAGAUAUCAGGAGGAACACCGGUGGUGUAGACGGCUUUCUGGACCGUAACUGACGCUGAGACACGAAAGCGUGGGUAGCAAACAGG